UGUAGUGGAAUUCCAGGGUCACAGCCUGAACCAAUGGGUGGGCUCUGUGAGUGUGUGAGUGCGGCAGCGCGGCGGUACGAACGGGGGAGGGACACAUUCCUCAGCUCGGCUCUGCCUGCGCGCUGCUACCGGGAGGGGUAAUAUGAGAAGGAGCUCUGACAUUCCAUCUCUGACAUAGAGCCUGUAUUCACCUCCCACUGAAUGAGCUGAAGGGGUACAGAAGGAUGGAAAAUGCACUCAAUCUUGUCAUAGGAUUCUUAUACAAAAUGACAACAAAUAAAGAAGCUGAAAUCACAGAUUAAAAGGAGAGCAUUAUCUGUCCUAUAUGUAGGGCAUACAUUUUUGUUUCCUGAUGUCAUUAUGUAACCAAUGAAAUGUCUACUACGGCAGAAGAAGAAUGACACUGUAGGCCAAAAGGUUAUAGAACUUCAGUUUGGCAAGAAGAUAUAGAUAUGUGUCCUGUUUUCAAAUGGUGUUUAAUUAUUUUUAGAGUGGAAAAUUCUUUCCCACUGCAAACUGACAGUGAACUGGUAGUUUUGUUAAGUGCUAGAAAUUGGAGAAGAUAGUAACACGCUUACCAUGGACACUACACUUGAUUAUGCUUAUUAUCGUUGUGCAAGAAAGGAGUCUGAUCAAUUGACCAUUGUCUCUCUUUACAUUCACUAAACUUGUCCAGGUACAAAAAGCUUCUAUAAGCAUUAACUUCAAACAGAUUCAGUUUCACUGUAAUUCACCACAAGGGAGGUAGAUUUAAAAUAUUUAGAAGAGAACUGGAUUGGGAAAAUUUUUUCUCUUCUAUUAUACCAAGAUCUAUCACUUCACCAGCUACAGACAAAUAUAAAACAUAUUCGGUGUCAGUCUAUGUUCUUUAUUUCCCUAUAUAAGUUGUCUGAAUCAAUUGGAAGAAUUCUUGUUGAAUGCUUCUUAGAUCUUGAGAGUGGAUCACAAGCUUCAUGGAGCAAAAAAAAUCUGGGGGUUACUUGACAGUCAGCUAAAUGUGAGUCAGCACUGUACUCAGGUGGCCAGGAGGCCCAGUGAUAUCCUGACUUGUAUGAGAG
ensembl:lncRNA